rnacentral:tRNA from 1 species
UGCGUUUAUAGCUCAAUUGGAUAGAGCGUUGGAUUUCGGUCCCAAAGGUUAUAGGUUCAACUCCUAUUAAACGUAAC